UACGUAGGGUGCAAGCGUUAAUCGGAAUUACUGGGCGUAAAGCGUGUGCAGGCGGUUAUGUAAGGCAGGUGUGAAAUCCCCGGGCUUAACCUGGGAACUGCAUUUGUGACUGCAUAGCUAGAGUACGGUAGAGGGGGAUGGAAUUCCGCGUGUAGCAGUGAAAUGCGUAGAUAUGCGGAGGAACACCGAUGGCGAAGGCAGGUCUCUGGGCUGACACUGACGCUCAUGCACGAAAGCGUGGGGAGCAAACAGG
rnacentral:rRNA from 1 species